GACGAACGCUGGCGGCGUGCCUAACACAUGCAAGUCGAACGGAAAGGCCCUGCGUUUGUGGGGUUCUCGAGUGGCGAACGGGGGAGUAACACGUGAGUAACCUGCCCUUGACUUUGGGAUAACUUCAGGAAACUGGGGCUAAUAUCGGAUAGGAGCUCCUGCUGCAUGGUGGGGGUUGGAAAGUUUCGGCUGUUGGGGAUGGACUAGCGGCUUAUCAGCUUGUUGGUGGGGUAGUGGUGGACCAAGGCUUUGACGGGUAGCCCGCCUGGGAGGGUGACCGGCCUCCAUGGGCCUGCGGUACGGCCCAGUCUCCAACGUUCGGCAGCGGUGGGAAGUAUUGCACAGUGAGCGCAAGCCUGAUGCGGCGACGCCGCGUGCGGGAUGACGGCCUUCGGGUUGUGAACCGCUUUCGCCUGUGACGAAGCGUGAGUGACGGUAAUGGGUAAAGAAGCACCGGCUAACUACGUG
rnacentral:rRNA from 1 species